AAAAGUGAAAGCGGGUUGAAUUAAUGCUGUAAUUAAUGUGUGUCAGUUUGCAUUGACAACCAGAAUUCUGUGUCUGUGAGGUAGUCGAAAUUAAGAAAGCUUUUAAAACUUGUACAGGUUUUCAUGAAGAACCAUGCCUAGUUUCAGAUUGAUUGGGCUAUGUAAUAAAUUAUUUAGACCCCAAAUGUAGUUUGCUUAAAAUGGCUAAAUAAUAUGGUAUUUUUUUCCCCCCUGCUAAAAAGACAGAAAAAAUUUAAAUGUCAGAUGCUUGUGUAUUAAUGGCGUUGGUGAUCCCCACCUUUCCUCCUUCCCAGCUCAAUAGCUGGAUGUUCAGUACUUGGGA
rnacentral:lncRNA from 1 species